GAUGAACGCUGGCGGCGUGCCUAACACAUGCAAGUCGAGCGAACGGACGAUAAGCUUGCUUUUCUGAUGUUAGCGGCGGACGGGUGAGUAACACGUGGAUAACCUACCUAUAAUUCUGGGAUAACUUCGGGAAACCGGAGCUAAUACCGGAUAAUAUUUUGAACCGCAUGGUUCAAAAGUGAAUGACGGUCUUGCUGUCACUUAUAGAUGGAUCCGCGCUGCAUUAGCUAGUUGGUAAGGUAACGGCUUACCAAGGCGACGAUGCGUAGCCGACCUGAGAGGAUGAUCGGCCACACUGGAACUGAGACACGGUCCAGACUCCUACGGGAGGCAGCAGUAGGGAAUCUUGCGCAAUGGGCGAAAGCCUGACGGAGCAACGCCGCGUGAGUGAUGAAGGCCUUCGGAUCGUAAAGCUCUGUUAUUAGGGAAGAACAUAUGUGGAAGUAACUGUGCACGUCUUGACGGUACCUAAUCAAAAAGCCACGGCUAACUACGUG
rnacentral:rRNA from 1 species